GUGGGGAAUAUUGGGCAAUGGGGGAAACCCUGACCCAGCGACGCCGCGUGAGGGAAGAAGGCCUUAGGGUCGUAAACCUCUGUUGUGUGGGAAGAAGAGCGUGACGGUACCACACGAGGAAGUCCCGGCUAACUACGUGCCAGCAGCCGCGGUAAUACGUAGGGGACGAGCGUUGUCCGGAUUUACUGGGCGUAAAGGGCGCGUAGGCGGUCAUUUAAGUCAGCUGUGAAAUGGUUUGGCUUAACCGGAUCAUGCGGUUGAAACUGGAUGACUGGAGUGCUGGAGAGGCAAGUGGAAUUCCCAGUGUAGCGGUGAAAUGCGUAGAUAUUGGGAAGAACACCGGUGGCGAAGGCGACUUGCUGGCCAGCAACUGACGCUGAGGCGCGAAAGCCAGGGGAGCAAACGGGAUUAGAUACCCUAGUAGUCC
rnacentral:rRNA from 1 species